UUUCUUUUUCUCUCUCUUCCAUUUUCUUUGAAAACUUUCUCUCUCCUCUCUCUCUUCUUUAGCAUUCUGCACUCUCUCUCUCCUUCUUUGGGUUAGAUUUACAUGGAGGGAGUAGAGACCUUCGAACCUCCAUGAUCAAGAUAAGUUUGAUUGUUCUUAUUUUUUCUUUAUUUUCUACCAAUUUUUUGUUGAUUCAAGCCAUUUUAAACUUGUUUGGAUUAUGUUUAUUAAGGUCUGCGUGGGUUUGAAGUGAGUCAACCCACUGAAUUGGGUCUGGGGCUCAACCCAUGAGUGAGCUGAGACAUUUGACUUUGGGCCUGGGGUGAUUUGGGCCCAACCCAUGCGUGGGCUAUUUGAUUUUGGGCUUGGUUUUUUUGUUUUGAAAACAGUGGCCUUAUUUUUCAAAAAAAAAAGGGCUUGGGCAGGUCUUUGAAAAAACAGUGGGCUUAUUUAAAAAAAUGGGCUUGGGCUGGUUUUUUUUUUUUCUUUUUUUUAAAAGUGGGCUUAUUUUUUAAAAAUGGGCUUGGUUAACGAGUCCAUGGAUUGGAUCUGGACCCAUGGGUUAGGUCAACCCGAGUUCAAUGGAUCGGGUUAAUGGACGAGGUCAAACAGGUCAGAUCCACCAAUCGGAUCCGAACCCUCGGUUCAUUUUUAAAAGUGGAUUAAACAUGAUAAAUAGAAUAAAAACAAAACAAAAAUACAAAAAUGUAACACCAACCUUUGGCUCUCAACUCCUUCAAUCUUCAGAAUCUCCUCUAAUAUAUAUAUUUGCAAUUUCCUGCUCUGACUUCAAAAUUCCCUUAAAAGCCUCUGGCCCCAAGUAACUUUUACCGUAUGAAUGUUACAGUAUCAAUCAAUCGUUGUUUCUCACUGUAUGAAAUUUCUCUUUGCCUCUCACUAUGUGCGAAUUUCUCUGAGUAUCUUCUCACUACUUAUGUUAUUACUGCUUUCCCUUUGCUCCUUUAGAAAGCCUUAAUUUAUAGGCUUGGGGAGCAUUGAUUGUAAACAUCUGAAAUCAAAUCUUCAACCACCUAUUACUGCUAAUCUCCCUCUAUUAACUCCCCUUUAUUUACUUUUAACAGCUAACCAAUUUUCUUUGUGUGUGCAGGUGCCAACAAUGUUUUGGAGAAUUGAAACUCCUAUCUUCCCCCCUUUUCUUUGUAUUUAUUUUUUGUUUUGCUGUAUUUCAGAAUUUUUCCUAUAUUUCCCUUUUGUUUUAUUCUCUCUCUUUUUUUUUUUUGUAUUUUUUUCUACUGUAUUCAUCUUUAAUUUGUAUUCUUUUGCUAUAUUUGUAUAAAAAGUGUAAUAAUAAAAAAUGUAUUCUCUUGUUA